rnacentral:rRNA from 1 species
UAAUCUGCCUCCCGGUGGGGGACAACGGCAUGGAAACGGCCGCUAAUACCGCAUGCGGUUGUCCGCGCUACGGCGCGUGAAAGAAAGGCGCUUUGUGGCGUCGCCGGGAGAUGACUCCGCCCCCCAUUAGCUAGGUGGUGAGAUAAAAGCCCACCAAGGCAACGAUGGGUAGCCGAGCUGAGAGGUUGAUCGGCCACACUGGGACUGAGACACCGCCCAGACACCUACGGGUGGCAGUAGUGUGGAAUCUUGGACAAUGGGCUAAAGCCUGAUCCAGCCAUGCCGCGUGGAGGAUGAACGCCUUCGGGUCGUAAACUCCUUUUCUGAGGGAAGAACCCCGCGCGCAGGAAAUGGCGUGCGGCUGACGGUACCUCAGGAAUAAGCAACGGCUAACUCCGUGCCAGCAUCCGCGGUAAUACGGAGGUUGCGAGCGUUGUUCGGAAUUACUGGUCGUAAAGGUAGCGCACGCGGUCUGGUCAGUCUGAAGUGAAAUCCCGAGGAUCAACUUCGGACCUGCUUUCGGAUACUGCCAGGCUUGAGUACGCGAGAGUAGAGUGGAAUUCCAGGUGUAGCGAUGAAAUGCGUAGAUAUCUGGAGGAACACCGGUGGCGAAAGCGGCUCUCUGGCGCGUUACUGACGCUGAGGCUCGAAACCGUGAGGAGCGAACGGGAUUAGAUACCCCGGAAGUCCACGCCGUAAACUUUAUUCACUAGGUGUGGAAGAGAUCGACACCUUGCGUGCCGCAGAUAACGCACUAAUUGCACCUCCUAGGGAGUUCGGUCGCCGUGUUGAAUCUCAAAGGAAUUGAUGGGGGCCCGCACAAUCAGUGGAGCAAGUAGUUUAAUUGGAGGCAACUCAAAGAACCUUAACCAGACUAGACAUCCCAGUACCCCCGCGGAAACACGGUAUUCCCUUCGGGGACCUGGUGACAGGUGCAGACAUGGCUGUCGUCACCUCGUGUCGUGAGAUGUUGGGUUAAGUCCCGCAACGAGCGCAACCCC